GGGUUGUGAGGUUAAGCGACUAAGCGUACACGGUGGAUGCCCUGGCAGUCAGAGGCGAUGAAGGGCGUGCUAAUCUGCGAUAAGCGCCGGUAAGGUGAUAUGAACCGUUAUAACCGGCGAUACCCGAAUGGGGAAACCCAGUGUGAUUCGUCACACUAUCAUUAACUGAAUCCAUAGGUUAAUGAGGCGAACCGGGGGAACUGAAACAUCUAAGUACCCCGAGGAAAAGAAAUCAACCGAGAUUCCCCCAGUAGCGGCGAGCGAACGGGGAGGAGCCCAGAGCCUGAAUCAGCAUGUGUGUUAGUGGAAGCGUCUGGAAAGGCGCGCGAUACAGGGUGACAGCCCCGUACACAAAAAUGCACAUGCUGUGAGCUCGAUGAGUAGGGCGGGACACGUGGUAUCCUGUCUGAAUAUGGGGGGACCAUCCUCCAAGGCUAAAUACUCCUGACUGACCGAUAGUGAACCAGUACCGUGAGGGAAAGGCGAAAAGAACCCCGGCGAGGGGAGUGAAAAAGAACCUGAAACCGUGUACGUACAAGCAGUGGGAGCACCCUUUGGGGUGUGACUGCGUACCUUUUGUAUAAUGGGUCAGCGACUUAUAUUCUGUAGCAAGGUUAACCGAAUAGGGGAGCCGUAGGGAAACCGAGUCUUAACCGGGCGUUAAGUUGCAGGGUAUAGACCCGAAACCCGGUGAUCUAGCCAUGGGCAGGUUGAAGGUUGGGUAACACUAACUGGAGGACCGAACCGACUAAUGUUGAAAAAUUAGCGGAUGACCUGUGGCUGGGGGUGAAAGGCCAAUCAAACCGGGAGAUAGCUGGUUCUCCCCGAAAGCUAUUUAGGUAGCGCCUCGUGAACUCAUCUCCGGGGGUAGAGCACUGUUUCGGCUAGGGGGCCAUCCCGGCUUACCAACCCGAUGCAAACUGCGAAUACCGGAGAAUGUUAUCACGGGAGACACACGGCGGGUGCUAACGUCCGUCGUGAAGAGGGAAACAACCCAGACCGCCAGCUAAGGUCCCAAAGUCAU
rnacentral:rRNA from 1 species